UGCGGCUCCACGGAGGGCCCGGAGCAACGAGAGCCGGGACCCGGGUGGGAAGGCACGCCACGGGCCAGCCAGGGAGUUAGCAAACAAACACUACCAGGACCUACGGGAUAAAAUACGUAUUUUUCUUUUCAAAUUAAAGGGUACAGCUGUUAUAAAUAAGGGAUGAGAAUGCCACUGCAGUGUUAAAAAAUGUUUGGACGCACCUAUGCGCACGGACACCCUUCUGCCCGCUCAGCGGUACCGCGGGAUGCCCCUCAGCCCCGCGGCUGCAGCGGCCCGGCUCUCUCUGCUCUCUUACCUGGCAGCAUUUCCUGAUACCAUCAGAGACCACAGGUGAAGUGUUGAGAUAAAGCAAGAGUUUUCUCCUGAUGAGAUGUCCAGACAGACACGACUAAGGAGAUGAGCAGCUACCCAUAUCCUACGUAUAAGGUUCCAUUGUUAUAUUACCCAGCACAGGGGAAUUUCGUCCAAUCUAUUUAAUUAAUUUUAGUACUUACAUUUCAUGCUAAUUAUUUUUUCCCACCUCAAUAUAUUGUGAGCUGAGGAUUUUUUAAGAGAAUCAUUAGAACACUCUCAGUAAUAUUUUGGGGGAAAAAAGGAAAAGGAAAAAAAAUGAGAACAUUUGGCACUGUCUUUAUUUUAAAUUAUAUUUGUUUAACUAACAUCUAAGAGUAAUUGUAGCCACAUUGUUUCUUCUGUGGUAAUUGCCCAUAAAAGAGUGGAACAACAGGGUGAAGGAAUGGAUCACCCAAAGAUCUACCCAAAUACUAAAACUAGCCCUUCCUUAUACUGAGGGUGGCAGAGCACUGGCUGCCGAGGGAGGUUGUGGAGUCUCCUCGUCUGGAGAGACAAAACCCAGCUGGACACGUUCCUGUGUCACCUGCCCUAGGUGACUCUCCUUGGCAGAGGAAGUGGACUUGAUCUUCAGAGUCCCUUCCAAACCUGGCUACUCUGUGAUUGUGCAGUAUCUGAAAUACAAGAGUACAUUUUUUUCUGUCUCACAGUUUUUUUCCCCUCAGCUCCAGUGCAAGUAUGUCUUUCAAACCAUCUGGAAGGCUGAGAAACAGCUGACAAAGUGAAUUUUCUUUUCUGCGCAAAAUAUUUAAGUAAAAAUGGUUUCGUUUUCAUCUACUUUCUUCCUGCAAAGCAAAGAUAGAUAACCAUACUUCAGAAGAAUUCCAGCUGUGUUAGUUUG
ensembl:lncRNA